rnacentral:piRNA from 2 species
UCCCUUUAGGUGGUUAUUGGAGAACUGGU